GAUGAACCACUUCGGUGGGGAUUAGUGGCGAACGGGUGAGUAACACGUGGGCAAUCUGCCCUGCACUCUGGGACAAGCCCUGGAAACGGGGUCUAAUACCGGAUAUUGACCUUCACGGGCAUCUGUGAGGUUCGAAAGCUCCGGCGGUGCAGGAUGAGCCCGCGGCCUAUCAGCUUGUUGGUGAGGUAAUGGCUCACCAAGGCGACGACGGGUAGCCGGCCUGAGAGGGCGACCGGCCACACUGGGACUGAGACACGGCCCAGACUCCUACGGGAGGCAGCAGUGGGGAAUAUUGCACAAUGGGCGAAAGCCUGAUGCAGCGACGCCGCGUGAGGGAUGACGGCCUUCGGGUUGUAAACCUCUUUCAGCAGGGAAGAAGCGAAAGUGACGGUACCUGCAGAAGAAGCGCCGGCUAACUACGUGCCAGCAGCCGCGGUAAUACGUAGGGCGCAAGCGUUGUCCGGAAUUAUUGGGCGUAAAGAGCUCGUAGGCGGCUUGUCACGUCGGUUGUGAAAGCCCGGGGCUUAACCCCGGGUCUGCAGUCGAUACGGGCAGGCUAGAGUUCGGUAGGGGAGAUCGGAAUUCCUGGUGUAGCGGUGAAAUGCGCAGAUAUCAGGAGGAACACCGGUG
rnacentral:rRNA from 1 species